UAGGGAAUAUUGCAUAAUGGGCGAAAGCCUGAUGCAGCAACGCCGCGUGUGCGAUGACGGCCUUCGGGUUGUAAAGCACUUUUGGAAGGGAUGAGGAAGGACAGUACCUUUCGAAUAAGCCUCGGCUAACUACGUGCCAGCAGCCGCGGUAAAACGUAGGAGGCGAGCGUUAUCCGGAUUUACUGGGCGUAAAGCGCGUGCAGGCGGUUUGGUAAGUUGGAUGUGAAAGCUCCUGGCUUAACUGGGAGAGGUCGUUCAAUACUACCAGACUUGAGUGUGGGAGAGGGAGGCGGAAUUCCGGGUGUAGUGGUGAAAUGCGUAGAUAUCCGGAGGAACACCAGUGGCGAAAGCGGCCUCCUGGCCCAAUACUGACGCUCAGACGCGAAAGCUAGGGGAGCGAACGGG
rnacentral:rRNA from 1 species